CAAGCACCUGUCUCUCCUCUACUUCCGACUUUUACGUUUGGAAAACAAGUUUGGAUUUUGUAGGACUUGAGCGCCUUUAUACGACAGCUGUGUUAAGGGUUUCCCCUUGAACUUAACGCUAAAUGCAGGGGACGGUAAGCGGAGGCACGAAAAGCAGCACUUUAUAUAUUCCUAGCACGGGUUUUGCCUUCGACGGAGUUCAUGAUGAACAAAUUGCGUCGGAAUGAGAACACCGAAAGAGAAGAGUUGAGAUUGAAAAAAGAUAAAACAAAACUUCCGAUCUUUUCAAUGUGCGAUAACGAGGAAACUGUCCUAGCAGGCCCGGAAAUUACAGAGCAAAAAUUUGAGGAUGUCUUGUCUAACUGGGUAACUGAAAUAAACGGAAUUCAGAAGCACAGUGGACAGGCCCCUCUGUUUACUGAGAACAUGCUUUCACCAAUAAAGGAUGAGCAGCUGUCAGGUCAGCCCUUGCCUAAGAGCCUGAAGCCAUUGAAAGCAAGGACAACUUCACCUGAAGGCCAGCUUUUCUACAGACCAGAGAGAUCACAUAGAUACCUCCAGGCCACAGUGUUUGAAUCAGAUGCUCAUGGGCGGACUGAGAGACCACAGAGUGCUCUUCCAGCCCUCCAUCUGGGAAGGCCCACUAGGUCCAGCCUUUUAAGGACAAGAUACCUUUCUCCAUCAGUAUCCAAAGAUUUCCAUCAAAAAGACAAAACAACCCCAUCUCCAAAGAAGUGCUCUUCCAGUAGACUACCUCUGAAUCUGAAGGAGCUGCAGCGUGCGUGCACCUCUGUGGGAGAGGAUGUCCAUUCUUUUCUGAUUGGAGCGCGGUAUAAUAGAGAAAGAUACAUGGACUCUGUUGCUGUUGAAAAGUAUGGUGUAUACCUCUCUCGGAGUUAUCCAAACUGUGCUUUUCUAACCCAAAGUGAAACGCCCAAAAAACAUGACAAAGCACAUGCCCUGAGGAGCCACAGAGCAAAGAUGUGUCAGGGCAACAGAGAAGAAGGCAGGGGCAUUACUGCCGAGCACACAAACAGCCACCAGGGGGCAGUCAAGAGUGCCUGGGGUACUGUGCCAGCAAAAGCCAUCAAACACACAAAAAGGAAAGAGCAACAGAAUGACACAAUGAGAACAGCAAAAGAGCAACAUAACACUGGCCAAGUGAAGGGGAGAUCCGAUGAUCUCAAAGGACAUUGCAGAGAUGGUAUUACACCACUUUCUGCUCAGAAAUGGAAAGAUACAAUGUUCAGUCACAAGGCUGCGGACAGGAGUGACGGAGAAAUCAAAUCCACAUCCCCUCCCCAAAGCCAGAAUAGUAACUCUUCGGGUUUGCUGGUCAAAGCCAUCAAGCCUUCAAAAUCGCAUUUGAGGAGUUCAGUGGCAGAAAGCCAAGGAGCAGUCUGUAAGAUUUAAAUUGCAGCAUCAUUCAACAGCAAAUAAACUACAUGCAGCAUCAGGAAGGACAAGGGGCAGAUAUCACUAAAGUAUGUUUUAUUAAAUGCUAAUCUGUUAAAACAAGCAUCUCAGUCCAAGCAGAUAUCUGCUUCGUUUCUUUUCAUCUUUGCUUUCCAUUUCAUACUGUAAGUCUCCCUGUUUUUUAUGUAUCUGCUUAUAGGGAAGAUAGGCCAAUCAUUAAAAAAGCAGUGCUUCUUUUUCGGCACGUACUGUAGUACACGAUCGGAAAUACCAACAAAUACCACACGUGUUCAGAGUCCACGGCCUCAGACGCAUGAACCCAGGUGCUGAAGUACUUUCCUUUAAGAGUACCAGAGACAUCCAGAGGCCAUCCCCCCCCUUAAACCUUAAAAUUGCAUUUAUAGUCCUUCCAAGAUGAAGUAUUCCUAAAAAUAUUUGGAAAAAAAAUGUUUUAGUAUGUAAACUGUGUCUUAGAAUAGAUGUGGAAUGUGUACAGUAGGUAAGUUAAAAAUAAGAAAAUAGGCAGAUCAAUGUCACAAGAACAUUUUGUGACUUUUCAGUCCUUUAGAAUCAUGCAAAGAGCUACAGAUAGAAAUGUAAUAGUAGUUCAGGUGGGGAGCUGCGUCGGCAUGCGCAGGCCGCAAGGGAUCAAGGAAAGGUUUAUUCAAUGCUUAAAAGAGAGGGAGAGAAACACAACGUUUCGGCUGUGGAGCCUUCUUGGGGUGAAGAAAAGAGCUGAAGAAAGCUCCACGGCUGAAACGUGUUUCCUUUCUUCUCUUUUAGGCAUGGAAUAAACCUUUACUUGUUCCCUAGAAAUGUAAUGCAGUAUGUCAAAGUUAGUUGCUUUUCAGUAAAGCUGAACCAAACCGAGUCACCAUAUGUCUUUGCUGACUUCUAAGAGAAGUAACAUUGAUCUUAUCUAACUACCGAUUGUCUGUAGUAGAGGUGUUAACUUUUUCACACAAGCAUGACACCAAGAGUGCAAAUGUACUUUAAUUAGUGCAAUAAUAAAGGGGCGUUGUUCAAUACACAACUUCAGUUUUUCCAAUGCAAAUUAUAUCUGUUUCCUUUCGAUGCAAGUUACACGUUUUUAUUGUAGAUCUAUUUUUCUGAACUUGCGGUAAAAAGCAACAGAUCUGAAAAACAUCUCAUGUAAGUUGUUUUAGCGAAAUGGAACAAGUCCACAAACCUUGAAGAUAUCCCUCUAAUAUCAGAGGCACUUGCAGAAAUCACAAGAUUAAGAGGUUUCCAUUUUCUGGUACACUCUUUAAUUGUUAAUCACUAUGAUAAAUAUCUGUGGUUCCCCAUGAGAAAGUAAAGAACAUUUUUUUUUCUUUGCUGGAGGUCUUUCAUCAGGACAUCAUUGAAAAGAAAUAGAAAGAACUUUCAGUACCAUACACUUCAG
rnacentral:lncRNA from 1 species